rnacentral:lncRNA from 1 species
GCAAACUAAUUCAAAAAAGUAUUUUAUGGAAACAAAUGUGAAAAAAAUAAAUGAGGAUAAUAAUAAGGCUACUCUUACCAACAUUGGGCAGGCCAAUCAAACCCAGGGAUCAACUUCUUGAUCUGCCAAGACAAGUACGAAAAAUAAAUGAAGAUUGACAAUGAAUGAUAAAUGAAGUAAACAAUCAUAUAGAAACAACAAAACAAUUAACACAUUAGAGGUACACCGUAGAAUAAUAGUCAGUCACAUGCAUAUUGCAUAAUCACCAAUGGAUAGCAAUAGUAACACUAGAAGGAGGUUCACCGUAGCAACCCUUCCAACUUAAAAAGAUUUUAAUGUAGUUUCAAACCAAAUAAAGUGGAAAAUGAGAAUAUAACGAGAUACCUGAACCUUGGUAUGGCAUGCAAAAUCACCAAUGGAUAGCAAUAAUAACACAUGAAGGAGGUACACUAAAGAAAUUAGAAACCCUUCCAACUUAAAAGAUUUUAGAGUAGCUUAGAACCCAAUAGAGUAGAAAAUAAGAACAUAACAAGAUACCUGAACAUUAAAGGUAUGUCAUGCAUGAAUAAUGAAGAAAUAAACAAAUAGAAGACAUAGAGAAAAACAAAGAUAUAACUUUUGCAUCAACACUAGAAUUGAAGAUAGUUUUAAAGAAAAUUUGUCAGAGAUUGAUACUUGUCUUACAUAGCAAAGCGAGAAAUUACAUAACACUGAAUGCUAAUGAUAGGAGCAAAUCAGGUUUCUAAUAGCAGAUCCCGGUCCCAACUAGUGUUGAAAUAAUCCUACCCAAGCUGCAACAUAUAUCUAAUUUUUCCAGCCAGAAGAGCACAAUACACAUCUAUUGAGAUUUCUUAAAACUGAACUGAGCACAUAACUUUAUUUUUUAAAUCCAGUUCACAUAGGUCCUCCACCCCUCUCUAAGUAUAUAUACUUAUAUACUACAUUUAAAGCACAAACUACUCAAAAGUUGUUGUAGUAGCUCUUGCACUGAUAGAUGAAUAAUAAUUGGAUAAACUCACAAUAUCCAUUUUCAACAGCUUAUAGAUUUUACAUUUGGUUUGAUGCAUUAGAAUAUCAUGCUCAUGAGUCAUGACCCCAUUUUUAAGUUAACUUUUAAUUGGAGAAUCAAAUAAACGAGCAUGACAGAAGAAUGAAACGAGAAAUCCUAAGAAUAGCAAAGCCAUAUAUUUAAAAACAUCUAGUGCAGGAACACAUGGGAAUGCUUAUUUGGCUCCCAUAUCCAAUGGAUAUGGGUCCAUUGCAUAAAUGUGCAAGAAACUUCUAUGAAGUAAAUCAAGUUGCACCAACAGCAAAUAUAGCACUCUCCGAACUUUCUAUUACAACAAUAGAUCCAGAUCUCCUCCCCUGACAAACAGAAACUAAAUGCAGGAGCCUAAGAUAACCUCUAUAUAUUUAAGAAAAUAACUAAACGGAAGCAGCCAUAAGCAGUUCACCAUUAAGAUACCACAAUCGUAACUCAAUCCUACAUCAUGUAACAUCUUUUCUUAACAAGAACCUCAAAAGUUUAGUGUAAAACUAACAGUUAUUAUUGCUGAACCACAAAACGAGAAAAGUGAACUAUAUUUCAAUCACAUCCUAGUAGAGUAUAGUGUUGGUAUACUCUGGGUUCAGCAUAGUCAUGCUUGUACUGGAUUAUUUCCCUUAAGUAGUUAGCAUUCUGUUAUAUGUGAGCUGGCACUAGUUAGUUUGUUCAGGGUAUAGAAAAUCUAUCAACGUCAGUUCUGUAACUGCUUACAAUGAUAAUCAUAAUCAAUUUACUCUUCUCACAAUUCUCUGAUUACUCUUUCAUGAGUGAAAUACAAAUUUAGAUGAAAUACAUGAAAUCCACUUAAUAUGAUUGGUGUCUUAGCAGCAUGUUUGUCAAGAAAUAAGAGAAAGAAAGAAAGAGAAAUAGAGCAACAAAAAAAAAUACAAAGAAGGCUGGCUUACCUCGAUGGGAGCGUACGUUCUUCUUGGCAAUAUGUAGGUAUUAUUCUUGAAAGCUCUUGGGAUGAAGAACUCAAUUCAGCAGAAUGAAAUACAUUAACCGCAAGCUGAAGAAUGAAACACGUGUUGACUGGCAGGAAGAACUGGCUGACCAAAAUACUCCUUCUAGCGGAGCUCGAUGGCUUCCAGACCUUUACCCACUGAUUUACCAGCAGAUAGAUGUAAGCAAAUAACAAUAUUUUAAAUAUCCAAAAUAUUUUAAAACAUCUGAAGAAUGAGUUCAAGGAGUACCUAUACUGUCAGCAUCUGGUGCAGAAUCUACAUGGAAUGUUCUGCAACAAGUUUGUGAGGUUCAGGUUGGUCAAGAACACCACUAGAAAGCUUGUUGGCUAAACAUGUUACCGACACUAACUUCUUUUUUUCC